GGCAACAGUGGCGGUUGGUUCCAUUUUCUCACCACUAUGUGGCGAUAGUGUUUCAGUGUCCAUGAUUCGAUUCCAUCAAAUUUUCAUUCGCAAGGAAAACUUAUUGUCGAAAUUAACUUGUGUAAUGAUCUUUUGUAAAUGUAUCUGCGUAAUUGGAAUCUCAAUUUGUUUCCUGCUUUAUGCAUUCGACUUAGUAAGUUAGGAGUUGUUGCUUGAUUUACGACAACAAAAGAGAUCAAGUUAAUUGGUAAAAAGGCGAUUGACCUGCGGCAGACAGAGAGACAGAGGUCACCAUCCUUCGAAACAAUCAGUGACUUCCGGCAUGCUGGAUCGAUCACAACAUUCACUCAAGUUUCACGCAC